ACUCCUACGGGAGGCAGCAGUGAGGAAUAUUGGUCAAUGGGCGGGAGCCUGAACCAGCCAUUCCGCGUGAAGGAAGAAGGCCUUACGGGUUGUAAACUUCUUUUCUGUAAGAAGAAUAGCCCCGACGCGUCGGGGUAUGACGGUAUUAUAGGAAUAAGCAUCGGCUAACUCCGUGCCAGCAGCCGCGGUAAUACGGAGGAUGCAAGCGUUAUCCGGAUUUAUUGGGUUUAAAGGGUGCGCAGGUGGUUUUAUAAGUCAGUGGUGAAAGUCUGGCGCUUAACGUUAGGAUUGCCAUUGAUACUGUAGGACUUGAGUAUGGAUGAGGUAGGCGGAAUGUGUAGUGUAGCGGUGAAAUGCAUAGAUAUUACACAGAACGCCGAUUGCGAAGGCAGCUUACUAAUCCAUUACUGACACUGAGGCACGAAAGCGUGGGGAUCAAACAGGAUUAGAUACCCUGGUAGUCCACGCCGUAAACGAUGAUCACUCGCUGUUUGCGAUAUACAGUAAGCGGCUGAG
rnacentral:rRNA from 1 species